rnacentral:rRNA from 1 species
GUGGGGAAUAUUGCACAAUGGGCGAAAGCCUGAUGCAGCAACGCCGCGUGAAGGAUGAAGGCCUUUGGGUCGUAAACUUCUGUCCUUGGGGAAGAAAAAAAUGACGGUACCCCUGGAGGAAGUCCCGGCUAACUACGUGCCAGCAGCCGCGGUAAUACGUAGGGGGCGAGCGUUAUCCGGAAUUAUUGGGCGUAAAGAGUACGUAGGUGGUUUUUUAAGCGCAGGGUUUAAGGCGAUGUCUCAACUGUCGUUCGCCCUGUGAACUGGAAGACUUGAGUACAGGAGAGGAAAGCGGAAUUCCUAGUGUAGCGGUGAAAUGCGUAGAUAUUAGGAGGAACACCAGUGGCGAAGGCGACUUUCUGGACUGUAACUGACACUGAGGCACGAAAGCGUGGGUAGCAAACAGGAUUAGAAACCCUAGUAGUCC